CCUACGGGUGGCAGCAGUGGGGAAUAUUGCACAAUGGGGGAAACCCUGAUGCAGCGACGCCGCGUGAGCGAUGAAGUAUUUCGGUAUGUAAAGCUCUAUCAGCAGGGAAGAAAAUGACGGUACCUGACUAAGCCGCCCCGGCUAACUACGUGCCAGCAGCCGCGGUAAUACGGAGGGGGCAAGCGUUAUCCGGAUUUACUGGGUGGAAAGGGAGCGUAGACGGCGAUGCAAGCCAGGUGUGAAAGCCCGGGGCUCAACCCCGGGACUGCGUGUGGAACUGUCGGGCUGGAGUGUCGGAGAGGCAGGCGGAAUGCCUAGUGUAGCGGUGAAAUGCGUAGAUAUUAGGAGGAACACCAGUGGCGAAGGCGGCCUGCUGGACGAUGACUGACGUUGAGGCUCGAAAGCGUGGGUAGCAAACAGGAUUAGAUACCCUAGUAGUC
rnacentral:rRNA from 1 species